AGAGUUUGAUCCUGGCUCAGGAUGAACGCUAGCGGCAGGCCUAAUACAUGCAAGUCGAACGAGGUUUAGUAGCAAUAUUAAACUUAGUGGCGCACGGGUGCGUAACGCGUAUGCAACCUACCUUCAACUGGGGAAUAGCCCCUCGAAAGAGGGAUUAAUACCCCAUAGUAAUUAGAAGAGGCAUCUCUUUUUGUUUAAAGCUACGGCGGUUGAAGAUGGGCAUGCGUGACAUUAGCUAGUUGGUGAGGUAACGGCUCACCAAGGCUACGAUGUCUAGGGGUUCUGAGAGGAUGAUCCCCCACACUGGUACUGAGACACGGACCAGACUCCUACGGGAGGCAGCAGUAAGGAAUAUUGGUCAAUGGACGAAAGUCUGAACCAGCCAUGCCGCGUGCAGGAUGACGGCCCUAUGGGUUGUAAACUGCUUUUGUACGGGAAUAAACCCGGGUACGUGUACCCGGCUGAAUGUACCGUAAGAAUAAGGAUCGGCUAACUCCGUGCCAGCAGCCGCGGUAAUACGGAGGAUCCAAGCGUUAUCCGGAUUCAUUGGGUUUAAAAGGUGCGUAGGCGGAUUUGUAAGUCAGGGGUGAAAUGCU
rnacentral:rRNA from 1 species